AAAAUGGACGCAUCCCCCUUGCAAGCAUAAUUGCAAAUAAUAUUUAAUUGGAGUGUUAAGGACGAAGGACAAUGGAAAGCAAGAAUAGCGCAACACUCGAAACCCUUCCUCGAAAUAAUUAUAAUUCCCAAGUGGUCAAAAACAGAACACUUACCCAAAACGUUCCAUUAUAAAUCGAUUUCAAGUAAACACGCAACUCAAUGUAAUCAGUUUAUAAAAUAAAAACACAUGAAAUUAAAUCUAUAUAUUGUAUAUUCAGGAAUUGAUAUAUUAGUGAAUAACUAGCGAGAACGAAAAAAAGUGGAAAAAGAGCGACUUAAAAAUAACUAUUUACUUAGUACCUAGUUACUCCUCAUUUUUUUUGGAUGUUGUGUAGAUUCGUGAACCACCGCAUGAAAGAAAACCACCAAAAUAAAAAACUAACUAAUAUACAAUCCCACAGACUAUUUACCUAUAGAACAGAAUCCAAUGCAAUUAGAAAGUGGAAAUCCUCAGGUGCUUUUCGAACUAGCUCGUUUUUCCAUUUACCAGUUACCAUUUAACCCUGAUUGCUUCAAUCAACCAGUGCAAUCAAAAUUGAAGAGAGUUGACAAAUAUACCAUGUACCUAAAAACAAAAAAACAAGCAAAAAUCCAACAUUAAAGAUUUAGUGGAAAAGUGAAAAAUAUAACAAUGAAAAUGAUACCUAGGCUAAGAGCAAAACGAUUUAUCGCCAAACCAGCAUUAAAACGAAGUGGAAAUUCAACUAUUUUUGAACUGGGCCGGCUGCUUGCCCAGCCCAGCAGGUCAGCCAGCCUUUAGUUCGAGUAGCCAGACCCGAAAUCCGAAGCCCCAAUUAAUAAUAAUACUACACACAUGACGAACAACUUGAGAAUUUGAGGAUUUCUUCAAUUUUAUUUCGGCUUUGUGUGGGGUAACGUAGUGCAAUUCGAUGAAAUCGAAUAUUUGGAAAGUCUGUAUCGGUUAGAUUCAUUCAUAUUUUGCAAACAGUAAACAAAUAAUUGGAUUUUAAAUUUGCUAAUAUCUCCUCAUUUGUUUUAUUUUCUUCUCUAAGCAUUAUAGAAAAAACGUAAUUAAUUUAGUCUUAUAUUUACAAAAGAUUAAGGCAUUAUUUUGGCACCCUUGAUUAAGAAUGGAAAUAUGAAUUGAAGAGAUCGCCGCACUCUCAAGUCGUUGGAGUUUUCUUUUAUAUAAGUCUCGAUGUUGUUGUUUCUCAUAGAGUGUACACAUAAACAUAGGAUAUAUCGUCGUCAUAAAUAUAUUUAGAAUGUACAUAACAAAAUACUCGAAUAUUUAAUUUACUCUCUGUGUUCCUCUGUUCGAACCGGAAACGAGCUUGCGCCUUCUUAGCACUCCAGGAAAAUGAAGAAAAUUCCCCAAUAUUCAAUAUGCUCUGGGAGGAUAGCUAAGGAGACCCCUAACAAAAAUUUCCCUUUUCCUCUAAUUUGACCUGAGAAAAUGUCGCUGGACGACGAAGGAAAAAUACAAAAGACGUGUGUAAAACAAAACUAGAGAAUUUUUUUUAUUAUUAAACAUAGUCAAGGAUAAUCAACACGAGAUGAUGGAGAAUUUGGCCGAUGCUGGCAAAAAUGAUGAUGAGAAAGCAAGGAUGUAAAAGAUAUAUUUAUAGAAAUGAGCUAUAUGUAUACAUGCUGACAGAUUAAUUAUAUGAUUAUAUAGUAACUUAUUGUCACAACGCAAGAGCAAUCAAUGUUUAACUUUAUUAAAUGUUACAAAGAGUUUUAAAUAUUAAAUAUACUUAAUGAAAUAUAUACAGAUAUACCUAUAUAUUGCAGAUUAUAUUCUAUACAUAUAAUUUGUAGGUGAAGCUGAGAUGAAUAAAAUACUAGUCGUACUCGUAGUUCGCCAUUAUGUUUGCCAAAAACCGGAGAUAUAUGUAAGAAAAGUUGUGUCAGCCAUUGCAGAAGUUCGAGGGAAAUUAUUAAGCAAAAGCUUUUCCAGAAUCUCAUAAAAAUCCAUUUGUAAAUCUAUUGUACCCGCCAAAUAAAUAAUAGUGAACAACAAUCCUUAUAUUCAAAAUAUACAAACCAAAAAAAGAAAGAAAUUUUGGAAAGGCAAAUUUAAAACAACAAAUGAAAAAAAAUUACCGGGCUGGCACUCUUUCUAAUUUUUUUGUUAGCAUUUAUUUCAAAAUCGUUAUUUCUUGUGUCUUAGCAAUAAUAAUAUAAUUAAAAUGUGUGUGUCGCUCUGUAACUGUAUCUAUUGUGUUUGAGAUUACUCGUAUCUUAUAAUGAAUAUUAUUACUAAACUAAAGCAAAGGAAACAAAAAAAAAAGAAAAGUAAGAAAGCAAAAACGCAGGAGACGCGGUAUGGCAUCCACAACAGAAAUUAAAAUUACUAAUUAAAACGAUUACUUACAGUAGACUUAAGAAUACAAAGAUUAAAUAAAGAAAACGAUUUCCUUACAUUAA